AACCGCCGUAUACCGAACGGUACGUACGGUGGUGUGGGAGAACGGGGGUUAGUCACCCCCUUCUACCCGAU
rnacentral:misc_RNA from 1 species